AACGAACGCUGGCGGCAGGCCUAACACAUGCAAGUCGAGCGAAGCCUUCGGGCUUAGCGGCGGACGGGUGAGUAACGCGUGGGAACGUGCCCUUUGGUACGGAAUAGCCCCGGGAAACUGGGAGUAAUACCGUAUGUGCCCUUCGGGGGAAAGAUUUAUCGCCAAAGGAUCGGCCCGCGUUGGAUUAGGUAGUUGGUGGGGUAAUGGCCUACCAAGCCGACGAUCCAUAGCUGGUUUGAGAGGGUGAUCAGCCACACUGGGACUGAGACACGGCCCAGACUCCUACGGGAGGCAGCAGUGGGGAAUCUUAGACAAUGGGGGAAACCCUGAUCUAGCCAUGCCGCGUGAUCGAUGAAGGCCUUAGGGUUGUAAAGAUCUUUCAGUGGGGAAGAUAAUGACUGUACCCACAGAAGAAGCCCCGGCUAACUCCGUGCCAGCAGCCGCAGUAAAAC
rnacentral:rRNA from 1 species